rnacentral:tRNA from 1 species
AGUAAGGUAAGCUAAAUUUAAGCUAAUAGGUUCAUACCCUGCAAAUAGAAGAAAUAUUCUCCUUACUA